rnacentral:rRNA from 1 species
UACAGAGGUGGCAAGCGUUGUUCGGAAUUACUGGGCGUAAAGGGCGCGUAGGCGGCCAUCUAAGUCAGACGUGAAAUCCCCCGGCUUAACCUGGGAACUGCGUCUGAUACUGGACGGCUCGAGUUUGGGAGAGGGAUGUGGAAUUCCAGGUGUAGCGGUGAAAUGCGUAGAUAUCUGGAGGAACACCGGUGGCGAAGGCGGCAUCCUGGACCGAGAUUGACGCUGAGGCGCGAAAGCCAGGGGAGCAAACGGG